rnacentral:lncRNA from 1 species
UCAUAAUCUCACACCAGACUAUGACUCUAGCCUCAAGAUAGAUCACCUUGCUUCUGCACAUGGUUUCACAAACCAGAAACCAACAGAUCCGAUUGGAUCUUCCCCUGUGAACGUUCUUUCCUCCGCUUCCGACGUCGUCUUCGUCUACCACAAGCGAACAUCACUUUCUUCUUCCUUUGAUGCUGACGCUGCAUAAUGAACGACAUCAGCUCUGAUUCGUCACACUUGAUAUGAGAGCGAUGCGAUCUCGAGACUACAGAAACUCUGAUUCUUCUUCUUCAGAAUCGAUCAAGAUUCGUUACCGAUGAAUCCUUGAAUCGCCAUAACCAGCGCUCUGAUACCACUUGUUGAGGAUUCUAUCGGUUUCCUGCAAGCUUCAAUGUAUCUCAAAUCGCAAAUCUAGCGGAAACAAUCAAUCGCAGUGUGGAAACGAAUCAAGCGAGAAAGUAAACGACACAAGAGUUUUGGUAACCCGGUGUUCACCGCACUCCUCCGAUGUGGAGAAGCCGCUAUACUCACCGGAGAGAGAAUUAGGUCUCUCAACCUUUCCAAUAGAUGAAACUGAGAAGUGUACAAUCACAGGAGACCUUCUUCCUCUCUAUCUCUGUUACAAUCACCUAGAGAUGAGGUAUGAUUUAGGAAGAAGAAACAAGAAGAUGAGUUUAGCUAGAUACACAGAGAAACUCCUUCCCUCACUAGCUCUCUCUCACUCACGAUCUCUCUCUCUCUCUGUCUCGAGCUCUCUCUCUCCCGAGCACGAGCUCUUUCUCUGCUCACCGUUCUGUUACAGACCUCGACGUCGUAACCGUAUCUUCUCCGUCUCGUGAAGAUGACGAUGACUUGAUCUAGCUCAGAAAAAAUAUCUUCAGCUUAAGUGGUUAAUGACUCUCUUAACCCCACUUGAACUUAGCCAAAGCAUGCCCAACUCACGUGCCUUUCAUAAGACCAACAUUAGCU